GACAGAGGUCCCGAGCGUUAGGCGGAAUCACUGGGCUUAAAGCGUGUGUAGGCGGAUUGGUAAGUACCUUGUGAAAUCCCACGGCUUAACCGUGGAACUGCUUGGUAUACUGCUUAUCUUGGGCCACUUAGGGGCUACCGGAACAAACGGUGGAGCGGUGAAAUGCGUAGAUAUCGCUUGGAACGCCGAAGGUGAAAACAGGCUGCUGGGGUUGCGCCGACGCUGAGACACGAAAGCCAGGGGAGCAAACGGG
rnacentral:rRNA from 1 species